AAGAAGAUUAAACAGAAGAACAAGGUAUUAUCAUGGCAUCGGAUAUUUUCUUUAUAUGGUCUUUUUCUCUUCUUUAUCGCCUAACGUUUAUAUUUUCUUUUUUCUUCUCAGUUUUUGUUCAAUUUUUGUCUACCCUUAAUGGGUCUCCUAGGGAUCACUCUCUCUCUCUUUCUCUCCUAGGGGCUGAAUACUUAGUGUUUAUGAUUUAAGUAUUUAAUUUAGUAUAAAUUACAAUAUAAUCUUGAUAGUUUAGUGAAACCUAUAAUUUAAUCUCUAUAUUUUCAAAACAAAAAAAUUUAAUUAUUCAGCUUUAAUUAUACAUACAAUGAAAUAUUCGAGUGUACAUUUUGUGCUAGAAUUUGGAUAAUGGUCUUGCCCAUCUGGUUUUAGGGAGGUUUCUUCCACCUCCUCUGACCUCGUUAUUAGUGGAUUGUUGUAAUUGCCUUUCGAUCUGGUACCAUCACAAUUUUGUACCCAAAUAUUUUCCCACUUGAUUUGUUUCUUACAAAAUAUAGAUCUUGAUAGUCAUUACUGAUUUGUUUAAGAAAAAAGGACCAACUUAAAGAAAAAUUAAAGAGUAUUUGGGAUUAGGGAUAGGAAUUGGGAAA
rnacentral:misc_RNA from 1 species